GCGCUUACUUCAGCAACACAUAUACUAAAACUGGAACAAUUACAGAGAUUAGCAUGUCCCCUGCACAAGGGUGACAUGAAAAUUCGUGAAGCGUUCCAUAUGAAA
ensembl:snRNA U6 U6 spliceosomal RNA